rnacentral:tRNA from 2 species
GGUAGGAUGGCCGAGUUAUAGGCAAUAGAUUGUAAAUUUAUUUACGGGGUUAAACCUCUCAUACCA